rnacentral:rRNA from 1 species
ACGAAGGGGACUAGCGUUGUUCGGAAUUACUGGGCGUAAAGCGCACGUAGGCGGAUUAUUAAGUCAGGGGUGAAAUCCCGGGGCUCAACCUCGGACCUGCCUUUGAUACUGGUAAUCUCGAGUCCGGAAGAGGUGAGUGGAAUUCCUAGUGUAGAGGUGAAAUUCGUAGAUAUUAGGAAGAACACCAGUGGCGAAGGCGGCUCACUGGUCCGGUACUGACGCUGAGGUGCGAAAGCGUGGGGAGCAAACAG